rnacentral:lncRNA from 12 species
CCGAGCCGCAGCAACCACCCCUCGGGCGCUCAGGGACGACACGUCGGGGCCUGAGAGGCUCGGUGUAAGGGGCACCGACUGAGGUCUGCAGAGAGCCGAGGCCGCAGCCCGCCCGAGUCCGGGGAGGGAGGACCCGCGAGAGGACCCAGGGAGCCUCCCACAGGUGUCCUCCUACCCCCGCCACGCAGAGCCCAUCUCCCGCGGACGUGCAACCAGCCCUUAGGGACCCCUGGCACGGGGUCCGGAUGUGACGUGGGCCGACUUCCGCCUCGGAGGUCUGAGGGAGCGGAGGGCCUCGUGUGGGGGGCGCAUUGGGGUCCCCUGGAAGGAGGCCAGGCCCGGGCCGGCGGCAGCCGGGCAGCAGGGACUUCAAGAAGUGACAGCAGAGGAAUCGAUCUGAGGCAGGGGUCCCUCAGGUCACAGACCAGAGUUGACGCGGGCCAGUGCCACUUGUCCAGCAUGGUCUUUGGCCCCCCAGAGGAGGGAUCUGCUACUCCCACGGCCCUGAGUGUUCCCCAGUGCUCUCAGAGUGCUGACCCCUCCCCCAGUGGUGGGGCUUCUGGUGGCCUUGAUCAGCCUGAGCUUCCUGGCCCCAGCAUCCAGCGGAGGGAGGAGAUGAGGAGUCCU